GUUAUUACUAACACUGGACUUUUUGGUUAUCAAUGAGUGGGUGGAGUUGAUUUUAGGGUUUGAUUUUAACAUGUUUUGAUGAAACUGUUACAUUCACUGCUGUAGUUGGAGCCUCUAUUUUAAUGCUCAAGGCUGAAAUAGAGGUGCUCCCAUGAGUAAAAAGCUAAUUGCUAAAAUGUUUAUUAACACAAAAUCAUACGUACUUAUGUAUUAUGUGUGUGUGUGACACUCCAAUGAUCAAAUACUUUUAGAGUUUUGAAGUUCAAACCUUAUUUUUUUACUUAUGGCGAGUAAGGUGAUUAGAUAUGUUGGGAAAAGUUGUGUUACGGUGAUCAUCUUCAAUAUUCCAGAGUUUCUUCAUCAUCAAGGUCUUUGGCAAUUUUUCGAUAGAUAUGGUGAAGUGGUUGAUUCUUUCAUCCCUAACAAAAGAAGCAAGGGAGGAAGUAGGUUUGGUUUUGUUCGUUUCACAAGAUUGGAGGACGCGAGGAAGGCUAUCAACUGUGUUGAUAGAUCUAGGAUUCAAGGGAAUAUAGUUAGAGUUUUCAUGGCGAGAUUUCAACCUCGUGAAGCUUUCUGGAGAAAGAAGCUUGCUGGCCCAAAACUAGCUGAGGCCAAGAGUAAUGUGGUGUUUCAGAAGCAUUCAAGAGGCUCCCAUUGUCGGUGUUGUUGACGAGGACAAGCUCUUCACUCUCAGAAAUAGCUUGGUAGGUGGGUGCAGAAAAUUUUCAAAAAUGAAAGAGUUGAUUGUUCUUAUGCAAAAGGAAGGCAUUUUAGGUUCGAAAAUUAUGAGGUUAAGUAGUUUAACAAUUCUAAUUUUUUUGGAAGAUGAAGAGAGUAGGGAUUAUGCUCUUAAUAAUCAGAUUGGGGCGUUAAAAAACUGCUUUGACAAAGUGGAAGUGUGGUCGGAAAACUUCCAGUGCAGCAGUCGUCGGGCAUGGCUUUCGUGCAGAGGGAUCCCACCGUUGGUGUGGAGUCAUUCCACCUUCAAAAACAUUGCAGACAAAUGGAGAGAUCUUAUCUCCAUUGAGGAAGGGACAUUAUAUCCAGGCUCGUUUGAUAGGGCAAUGUUUCAGAUAUCUACGAACUGUCAAGCUCGAGUGGAAGAAUACAUAGAUUUGAAAGUCGGGGAACGGAUCUAUACAGUUUAUGUUUCUGAGUUUGAACCUUGUUUCAGCCUAGAAUCUGUCUGGGUAGAUUCGUCCUUGAUGGAUAAGGGAGUUUCCUACCCGUUUUCCAUGGUGGGGGAACUUGUUAGUGACUCGCCAGUUUUGCCUUCCGCGAUGGAGAAGUGUGCUGAGGAAGCAAGGAGAAGUGUGGACUCAACGGUGGAGAAUAUUUUCGAGUGGUUUUCCGAGGAAGAAGACAGUCUAUUAUGUUGUUUGGGGAACAGAUUUAGAGGCAACAACCUGUUGGGUGAAGAUGAGGAGAAUAGGGACAUAGGGGAGGAAUUAAUUAUGGGUCUGAGGAAUGUGGUUGUUGGUCAGGGGAUGGUACAAACGAAUUUUGAGGAAGUGCUGGACCAAGCGGAGAGAGAGGUAGAAAAUGACAUUAGGAAAAGUGGUGAGACUGCACGUGCUUUUGAGGGUACUACGGAUUAUUUUUUAGAUUUCCCCAUGUUGGAUGGUCGGGUAGAGUCAAAGGUGGUGGAUGAUGUGACUAAUGUGGGCCUCACAAAUUAUUGUGCAUUCAAAAAUUCUAAGGGCGAGCCAAGUCAGAACCAGAGAGCAAAGAAGGGGAAAAACAAAAAUUUCAGCUCUCUCCAAGACUGCCGUAGCAAGAAAUACCAGAGUAAGGUGCAUCGAGACGAAGAAUGGCCCGAACUUGAAGGUAGAUCCUUAUAUGAUUCUGAUUUUCGAGCAAAGUAGCAGACUCAAAAGAAGGAAGCGACAGAUUGCUUAAAGAUCGGGAAUGAUUUGGGUUUUGAGUCUGAUGGCUUACAAGUGGUUUUUGUUACGGAACAUUGUAGCACUGGAAGUAUUGACAGAAUCAUUAAGUUCUGAAUAGUUUUUAGGGGACUAGAUUAUGUUUUCUGUUUAUGGAGUUGGAGGUUCGGAGGGUCUUCGAUGUGAAGUUGAGCAGUUAGUGGCAGAAGGGCGAUUACAGUUUGUUUGAAGUUUGUUUUGUUCAACUGUUAGCGUGGAAGCUCAUGGCUUUGGUGUGUGAUUUUGGCUACUAUGGAUUGUGUCAGUUGGUUUAUUUGGCCUUUAUUAUUGUUAUAUUGUGUUGCAGCAUGAUAGAGUUAGUGCAGCAUUAGUUGAGUGCUAGUGCAGAAACAGCAGGGUAUAGGCUGGAAAAGCAGAGUAUGGGCAGCGUGGGGUAUUGUGCAGCAGCAUGGACAAAUUGGUUACUGCAGUCUCUGUUGUCAAGACAACUUUAAAGUGGCAGACAAGCGGUUAUGUGCUUGCUGUUUUGUAUUCUUUUCAUGUGGAAGCUUUUGGCUUUUGUGUUAGAACUUGGCUGCUAUCUUCUAUUAUCGUUGUUUCUUUUGUGGCGUCUUUCGGGCCACGUUUAGGCUUUUAGUAUAGUCAAUCUGUUUUUGAGGCUAAUGUUGUUUCUAAGUUGGAUUAGGCUGAGUCUAUGUUGUUGUUUAGGGUUGUUUGCUGCUGCUUUUGGUGUUAUGUUUAUGUUGGGGGUGGCUCUCAGGUUGUAUCUUGUAUUUUCUAAUGAUUAAUGAAAUCUUAAGGCACUCUUUUCCUCCUCCCGCUGAUUAAAGAGCUUAUAUAUAAGUUCCUUUAAUCAUGAAGGAGGUUUCUAACGAGGCCUCCAAUUCCUAUAAAAAAAAAGUUCAAACCUUAUGGAGGCUGAGGUUUCCACAUGUACUAUUGUAUCUUUUAUGCUUGUAAACUUUAGUAUAGAUGCUCUGAUGAAUCUUUAGAAGUUAACUCACCUUUGCCUCAUGCAAAGAUUAAGCAUCAUCAUUACUUUAGUAUAGUCUUCAUCGCAUUUAUUUUUUUCCUGUUCGGUUGUUUGGCCAAUUUGGAUGAAAUUCUUGGGCUAUUGGAAUUUUCAGUUUGUUUUUCAUGCAGAUGCUAAAAGAUUCCUAUUGGCUUGGAAUGACUUGAAGACCAACUCUCUUAUCUGGUCAUUUAUCCCUGGAGCUGUUUUAUGGACAAUUUGGAAGACCAGGAAUUUUAUAGUGUUUGAAGGAGGGAAGCUUGAUCGAGCAGAGAUUUUCUUUCUAGCAAGGUAUUUUGUGAAUUUGAUUGGGAGUUGGAUGAACUUGAUGAAUUUCUGUCUAAAUUAUAUCUACCAAUACGCACG